GCCUGGCCCUAAAUCUUGAUGCUUGAUCUAACCGGAGCAUCCGCCUGAGAACUACGAGCACAAACGCUUAAAACUCUAAGGACUUGGCGGUGCUCCAAACCCACCUAGAGGAGCCUGUUCUGUAAUCGAUGAUCCACGAUAUACCUGACCAUUCCUUGCCAAAAACAGCCUAUAUACCGCCGUCUCCAGCCCACCCUCCAUGAAGGCCCAACAGUGGACGCAAUAGCCACACCGCGCUAGUAAGACAGGUCAAGGUAUAGCCCAUGGAAUGGAAGCAAUGGGCUACAUUUUCUAGAUUAGAACAUGACGGCAAAGGCACAUGAAAUUGUACCUAGAAGGCGGAUUUAGCAGUAAAGAGGGAUUAGCGAGCCCUCUUUAAGCCGGCUCUGGAGUGCGU
rnacentral:rRNA from 1 species